rnacentral:rRNA from 1 species
AGCGAACGCUGGCGGCAGGCCUAACACAUGCAAGUCGAGCGGCCGUAGCAAUACGGCAGCGGCAGACGGGAGAGUAACACGUGGGAACGCGCCCUUCGGUUCGGGAUAACUCAGGGAAACUUGGGCUAAUACCGGACACGCCCUUACGGGGAAAGAUUUAUUGCCGAAGGAACGGCCCGCGUCCGAUUAGCUUGUUGGGGAGGUAACGGCUCACCAAGGCGACGAUCGGUAGCUGGUCUGAGAGGAUGACCAGCCUCACUGGGACUGAGACACGGCCCAGACUCCUGCGGGAGGCAGCAGUGGGGAAUAUUGGACAAUGGGCGAAAGCCUGAUCCAGCCAUGCCGCGUGGGUGAUGAAGGCCCUAGGGUUGUAAAGCCCUUUCAGCGGGGAAGAUAAUGACGGUACCCGCAGAAGAAGCCCCGGCUAACUUCGUGCCAGCCGCCGCGGUAACAC